UUCGGAAAUCAUUUGAUCAUUAGCGAGGAUAAAAAGGAACUGCAUUUUCCAAAUUGAAUUUUAAGUUAAAGUUUUUCCAACUUUCCCAAAUUGACCUUCUGUUAUCCGACGACACUUAAGCGCCAAUUGGUCAUUGACUGGGCGAAAGGAAGGAUCUCGCAUCCUUGGGAAUCCUUUAAAACGCCUCCGUAGGCUCGAUGCGACAUUCCGGCAAGACAAGACACUAAGAUGUUUGCUUAGCUGGCAGGAGACUUUAAACUUGGGCAGCAACGACUACGGCAAAAGACAGAUGCGACUGAUAGCAGGAUUCACAUUCGCACCACCGCCCCCCCUCCGCAUUUUCCUGAACCCCCGCUAUCCCUCCCUAGUUUUCCCAACCGUAUUUAACGGUGACGCGUGCGUUGCGUAUAAAGAAAAAUAUGAUUACAUAUUGUUGUAUUUUGAAAAGCCGGCGUAAAGGAGUGGAAAAGGGUUGACGUUUUUUUUUCCGAGGCUAUGUCAAAAAGCGGAGUCCAACCACUCAGAGGCAAUCAGCUCCGAUUGCCUCAGAAACACAGCAAAUAAUUUCAAUCGCCACUAGCAAUAUAUAGAAAGUACUCAUUGUACAAACUUUAGUUGCAUCAUAGCUGCAGACAACAAAAAAUAUUUCUCCCUAAAAAAAUUAUAACUUUAUAUUGAUCCAAUGCAAUAUAUGAACUUUUUCGCAGUGCAGACAACUGCCAAACAAAUAGCCAACAACAAGAGUCGAAGCGACAACAACAACAAGGCCAACAAUGGCGGCAUUCAAUUUUUAAUAUUUGCCUUGCAAAUUUAGUAUAAAAUGCAUUUGUUGUCUACAAGCCACCACGCCUCCCCAUCCCCUGAGAUUACCACGCCCCCACCCCUUCAAAUUGGUGGGCGGAAGGGCAGGAGACCGAUGACUGGCGGAGGGCACACUAUCGCCCAAUAACACCCGAAACUGGGAAGCCCCAAAAGCUGGAGAACUGGCAACAGGAAGCAGCCAGCGCCGGGCCAAAGUGGGAAAGUGAAUGGAGCACGGCAAUGUCAACACAUGGAAAUUGCAAGGACAACGGCAAAAAAACAGGAAAAAAGAAAGGCGGGGAAAACCGAAAAGGAAAACGAAUAGCAGCAGCCACAGUAACUAUAAACUGGAAUGAUAUUGCCAACGAACAGAACACAAAGACACUGGAAACAAUUUACGUCUUUAUAAUAAAUGCAUGAAAAUGAAAAAAAAAUAUCUAUGUAUCAAGUAAAAAAGUAUCUGAAAGAA